rnacentral:rRNA from 1 species
CGGACGACGCUGGCGGCGUGGAUUAGGCAUGCAAGUCGAACGGUAUCAUCCUUUCGGGGGUGAGAGAGUGGCGAACUGGUGAGUAACACGUAGGUUAUCUACCCUCAAGACGGGGACAACCCAGGGAAACUUGGGCUAAUACCGGAUGUGAGCAACUUUUAGUUGUUUGAAAGGUGGCGUAAGCUGUCGCUUGGGGAUGAGCCUGCGUCCUAUUAGUUAGUUGGUGAGGUAACGGCUCACCUAGGCAAUGAUAGGUAGGCGGCCUUAACGGGUGGUCGCCCACACUGGGAUUGAGAUACGGCCCAGACUCCUACGGGAGGCAGCAGUCGAGAAUAGUCUACAAUGGUCGGAAGGCUGAUAGUGCGACGCCGCGUGAACGAUGAAUCCCUUCGGGGUGUAAAGUUCUUUUAUAUGUGAGCAGUGCUUCUUAUAUUAACAGUAUGGGGAGAGAGAUAUUAGCAUAUGAAUAAGCAACGGCUAACUCCGUG